rnacentral:lncRNA from 1 species
AAAUUACCUGAGUAGCAUCAUUAUAGUUCUCGAUAUCUCCACUUCCAGUUUUACAUUUACCAUCAUUAAAAUCCCAUCCAGAAUAUGGGACUGCUGGAAAGUCCCUACUUCCAGGGUUGAAGUAACUUCCACAGGAACAAGCAGUACCUGUGGAAGUUACUUCAACCCUGGAAGUAGGGACUUUCCAGCAGUCCCAUAUUCUGGAUGGGAUUUUAAUGAUGGUAAAUGUAAAACUGGAAGUGGAGAUAUCGAGAACUAUAAUGAUGCUACUCAGGUCAGAGAUUGUCGUCUGUCUGGUCUUCUCGAUCUUGCACUGGGGAAGGAUUAUGUGCGUUCUAAGAUUGCCGAAUAUAUGAACCAUCUCAUUGACAUUGGUGUUGCAGGGUUCAGAAUUGAUGCUUCCAAGCACAUGUGGCCUGGAGACAUAAAGGCAAUUUUG